rnacentral:rRNA from 1 species
CCUACGUGAGGCAGCAGUGAGGAAUAUUGGUCAAUGGGCUUACGCCUGAACCAGCCAAGUCGCGUGAGGGAAGACUGCCCUAUGGGUUGUAAACCUCUUUUGUCAGGGAGCAACGCCGGCUACGUGUAGCCGGACUGAGAGUACCUGAAGAAAAAGCAUCGGCUAACUCCGUGCCAGCAGCCGCGGUAAUACGGAGGAUGCGAGCGUUAUCCGGAUUUAUUGGGUUUAAAGGUUGCGUAGGCGGAAUGCCAAGUCAGCGGUAAAAUCGCGGGGCUCAACCUCGCUCCGCCGUUGAAACUGGCGUUCUUGAGUGGGCGAGAAGUAUGCGGAAUGCGUGGUGUAGCGGUGAAAUGCAUAGAUAUCACGCAGAACUCCGAUUGCGAAGGCAGCAUACCGGCGCCCAACUGACGCUGAAGCACGAAAGCGUGGGUAUCGAACAGGAUUAGAUACCCGGGUAGUC